GAUGAACGCUAGCUACAGGCUUAACACAUGCAAGUCGAGGGACCGGCGCACGGGUGAGUAACACGUAUCCAACCUGCGCUUUACUCGGGGAUAGCCUUUCGAAAGCAAGAUUAAUCCCCGAUGCACAGGAUGGGGAUGCGUUUCAUUAGGUUGUUGGUGGGGUAACGGCGCACCAAGCCUUCGCUGGAUAGUGGUGGUGAGAGGAAGGCCGCCCAGAUUGGAACGGCGACACGAUCGAGACUGCGACGGGACGCAGCAGUGAGGAAUAUUGGGCAGUGGGCGUUAUCCUGAACCAGCCAAGUAGCGUGAAGGGUGAAGUCUUAUGGGGAGUAAACUUCUUUUAUAUAAGAAUCGGUACUAGAUGAAUAAGCAACGGCUAACUCCGUGCCAGCAGCCGCGGUAAUUC
rnacentral:rRNA from 1 species